GAUGAAGAACGUAGUGAAAUGCGAUAAUUAAUGUGAAUUGCAGAAUUCAGUGAAUCAUCGAGUCUUUGAACGCACAUUGCGCCCCCUGGUAUUCCGGGGGGCAUGCCUGUCCGAGCGUCAUUGCUGCCCUCAAGCACGACUUGUGUGUUGGGCUUCCGUCCCUGGCAACGGGGACGGGCCCAAAAGGCAGUGGCGGCACCAUGUCUGGUCCUCGAGCGUAUGGGGCUUUGUCACCCGCUCCCGUAGGUCCAGCUGGCAGCUAGCCUCGCAACCAAUCUUUUUAACCAGGUUGACCUCGGAUCAGGUAGGGAUACCCGCUGAACUUAAGCAUACAAUAAGCGGAGGA
rnacentral:misc_RNA from 1 species